UACGUAGGGUGCAAGCGUUGUCCGGAAUUAUUGGGCGUAAAGAGCUCGUAGGUGGCCUGUCGCGUCGGCUGUGAAAACUCGGGGCUCAACUCCGAGCUUGCAGUCGAUACGGGCAGGCUAGAGUUCGGCAGGGGAGACUGGAAUUCCUGGUGUAGCGGUGAAAUGCGCAGAUAUCUGGAAGAACACCAAAGGCGAAGGCAAUGUUCUGGCUCGUUUCUGACGCUCAGGUGCGAAAGCCAGGGGAGCGAACGGGAUUGAAACCACGGUGAGCCGACCAAGUC
rnacentral:rRNA from 1 species